rnacentral:rRNA from 1 species
UACGGAGGGUGCGAGCGUUAAUCGGAUUUACUGGGCGUAAAGGGCGCGUAGGCGGCGCGGUAAGUCACUUGUGAAAUCUCUGAGCUUAACUCAGAACGGCCAAGUGAUACUGCAGUGCUAGAGUGCAGAAGGGGCAAUCGGAAUUCUUGGUGUAGCGGUGAAAUGCGUAGAUAUCAAGAGGAACACCUGAGGUGAAGACGGGUUGCUAGGCUGACACUGACGCUGAGGCGCGAAAGCCAGGGGAGCAAACGGG